rnacentral:lncRNA from 1 species
CAAAGUUAAUCCAUUUUCAAACCCCAGCCACAGUUGUCCUCUCCCUCCUCCCACCGCCUUCAUUAUCGUCACUGCACCGAUCAUCGCUGUCCCAAAAAUAGAGUGAUUCACCGCCAUUUUUUUCUCCUUUCAUUUCUCUCAUUUGAGGGGGAAAAAGAUACUUUCUUGAAGUUUAGUUAAUUAAAGAUUGGAUUUUUAUGUAAAAAAAAAAGUUUUAAUUUUUUGUUUUUGUGUUUGUUGGGUUGUUUGUUUUUGUGGGUAUUGAUUAUAUUUUUGUUAUUGUGGACUGAGUAUUAAUUUGUUGUGGAUAUUGAUUUUGUUUUAUCAAAGGUUGGUGUUGUAUGAGGUUAAAGGUUUUAUUUUAAGGUUUGUCCAUGUGGGAUUUGUAGGUUUAUGUUAUAAAGUUUCGAUUUUAUAGAUUUUUUU